GUUUAUUUGGAACGAUUACAGUUGGAAGCUGUUGGCUGAUCGCCACGAAGAUUUUGAUAGAUCAGAAUUUUGUGUCGUUCAGAAGUUGUUUGUUCAGUGGAAAAUGGCGAAUGACGAAGAAGUUCCGAAAGUUGAGAUUCUCAAGUACUUCGAGCGCUAUGGAAAAAUCAGAUCAGUCGAAUCAGUGAAUGGUACCAAAUACGCCGAACCGAGUGAAGAUAUUUUCGAAGCAUACGUGACAUUUUCAAAAAGUGAACAUGCAUACAAUGCAUUCAUGGCCCAUCGACAGGAUACAAUGACGGUUCUUCCAGCUGACACAUGGCAUCA